AUUGAACGCUGGCGGCAGGCCUAACACAUGCAAGUCGAGCGGAUGAAGGGAGCUUGCUCCUGGAUUCAGCGGCGGACGGGUGAGUAAUGCCUAGGAAUCUGCCUGGUAGUGGGGGAUAACGUCCGGAAACGGGCGCUAAUACCGCAUACGUCCUGAGGGAGAAAGUGGGGGAUCUUCGGACCUCACGCAAUCAGAUGAGCCUAGGUCGGAUUAGCUAGUUGGUGGGGUAAAGGCCUACCAAGGCGACGAUCCGUAACUGGUCUGAGAGGAUGAUCAGUCACACUGGAACUGAGACACGGUCCAGACUCCUACGGGAGGCAGCAGUGGGGAGUAUUGGACAAUGGGCGAAAGCCUGAUCCAGCCAUGCCGCGUGUGUGAAGAAGGUCUUCGGAUUGUAAAGCACUUUAAGUUGGGAGGAAGGGCAGUAAGUUAAUACCUUGCUGUUUUGACGUUACCAACAGAAUAAGCACCGGCUAACUUCGUG
rnacentral:rRNA from 1 species